rnacentral:rRNA from 1 species
UACGUAGGGUCCGAGCGUUGUCCGGAAUUAUUGGGCGUAAAGGGCUCGUAGGCGGUCUGUUGCGUCGGGAGUGAAAACUUACAGCUUAACUGUGAGCGUGCUUCCGAUACGGGCAGACUUGAGGUAUUCAGGGGAGAACGGAAUUCCUGGUGUAGCGGUGAAAUGCGCAGAUAUCAGGAGGAACACCGGUGGCGAAGGCGGCUGCCUGGCCUAAGACUGACGCUGAGGUGCGAAAGCGUGGGUAGCGAACGGG